AACGAACGCUGGCGGCAGGCCUAACACAUGCAAGUCGAGCGAAGCCUUCGGGCUUAGCGGCGGACGGGUGAGUAACGCGUGGGAACGUGCCCUUUGGUACGGAAUAGCCCCGGGAAACUGGGAGUAAUACCGUAUGUGGUCGAGAGACGAAAGAUUUAUCGCCAAAGGAUCGGCCCGCGUUGGAUUAGGUAGUUGGUGGGGUAAUGGCCUACCAAGCCGACGAUCCAUAGCUGGUUUGAGAGGAUGAUCAGCCACACUGGGACUGAGACACGGCCCAGACUCCUACGGGAGGCAGCAGUGGGGAAUCUUAGACAAUGGGGGAAACCCUGAUCUAGCCAUGCCGCGUGAUCGAUGAAGGCCUUAGGGUUGUAAAGAUCUUUCAGUGGGGAAGAUAAUGACUGUACCCACAGAAUAAGCCACGGCUAACUACGUGCCAGCAGCCGCAGUAA
rnacentral:rRNA from 1 species